AAAUGCAAGUCGAACGGGGGAAAGAGAGCUUGCUCUCUGGAUCAGUGGCGAACGGGUGAAUAACACGUGAGCAAUCUGCCCCUGACUCUGGGAUAAGCGCUGGAAACGGCGUCUAAUACCGGAUACGAGCUGCGAAGGCAUCUUCAGCAGCUGGAAAGAACUUCGGUCAGGGAUGAGCUCGCGGCCUAUCAGCUAGUUGGUGAGGUAAAGGCUCACCAAGGCGUCGACGGGUAGCCGGCCUGAGAGGGUGACCGGCCACNCUKGGAMUGANACMCGNCCCAGAYUCCUNCGGGAGNCAGCAGUGGGNAAUAUUGCMCAAUGGGSSCAANCYUGAUGCARCAACKSCGCNUGAGGRASGASGSCCUUCGGGUUGUAANCCUCUUUUAGCAGGNAAGAAGCGAARKUGMCGNUACCUSCAGAAAAAGCACCGGCUAANCUACGUGCCAGCAGCCGCGGUAAUANCGUAGGGUGCAAGCGUUNAUCCGGAAUUAUUGGGCGUAAAGAGCUCGUAGGCGGUUUKUNCGCGUCNUGCUGUGAAAANCUGGGGGCUCAACCCCCNAGCCUGCAGUKGGUACGGGCAGACUAGAGUGCGGUAGGGGNAGAUUGGAAUUCCUGGUGUAGCGGUGGAAUGCGCAGAUAUCAGGAGGAACACCGAUGGCGAAGGCAGAUCUCUGGGCCGUAACUGACGCUGAGGAGCGAAAGGGUGGGGNAGCAAACAGGCUUAGAUACCCUGGUAGUCCACCCCGUAAACGUUGGGAACUAGUUGUGGGGUCCAUUCCACGGNAUUCCGUGACGCAGCUAACGCAUUAAGUUCCCCSCCNUGGGGNAGUACGGCCGCAAGGCUAAAACUCAAAGGRAUUNGACGGGNACCCGCAYAANGCGGYGGAGCAUGCGGANUUAAUUCGAUGCAACGCNGAAGAACCNUUACCAANGGCUUGACAUNAUACGAGAACGCNUGCARAAAUGUAGAACUCUUUNGGACMCUYGUAAACAGGUNGGUGCANUGGYUGUCGUCAGCUCGUGUCGUGAGAUGUUGGGUUAAGUCCCGCAACGAGCGCAACCCUCGUUCUAUGUUGCCAGCACGUAAUGGUGGGAACUCAUGGGAUACUGCCGGGGUCAACUCGGAGGAAGGUGGGGAUGACGUCAAAUCAUCAUGCCCCUUAUGUCUUGGGCUUCACGCAUGCUACAAUGGCCGGUACAAAGGGCUGCAAUACCGUAAGGUGGAGCGAAUCCCAAAAAGCCGGUCCCCAGUUCGGAUUGAGGUCUGCAACUCGACCAUC
rnacentral:rRNA from 1 species